rnacentral:rRNA from 1 species
GGCUCAGGACGAACGCUGGCGGCGUGCCUAAUACAUGCAAGUCGAGCGGACAGAUGGGAGCUUGCUCCCUGAUGUUAGCGGCGGACGGGUGAGUAACACGUGGGUAACCUGCCUGUAAGACUGGGAUAACUCCGGGAAACCGGGGCUAAUACCGGAUGGUUGUUUGAACCGCAUGGUUCAGACAUAAAAGGUGGCUUCGGCUACCACUUACAGAUGGACCCGCGGCGCAUUAGCUAGUUGGUGAGGUAACGGCUCACCAAGGCGACGAUGCGUAGCCGACCUGAGAGGGUGAUCGGCCACACUGGGACUGAGACACGGCCCAGACUCCUACGGGAGGCAGCAGUAGGGAAUCUUCCGCAAUGGACGAAAGUCUGACGGAGCAACGCCGCGUGAGUGAUGAAGGUUUUCGGAUCGUAAAGCUCUGUUGUUAGGGAAGAACAAGUGCCGUUCAAAUAGGGCGGCACCUUGACGGUACCUAACCAGAAAGCCACGGCUAACUACGUGCCAGCAGCCGCGGUAAUACGUAGGUGGCAAGCGUUGUCCGGAAUUAUUGGGCGUAAAGGGCUCGCAGGCGGUUUCUUAAGUCUGAUGUGAAAGCCCCCGGCUCAACCGGGGAGGGUCAUUGGAAACUGGGGAACUUGAGUGCAGAAGAGGAGAGUGGAAUUCCACGUGUAGCGGUGAAAUGCGUAGAGAUGUGGAGGAACACCAGUGGCGAAGGCGACUCUCUGGUCUGUAACUGACGCUAGA